rnacentral:misc_RNA from 1 species
UGAAGAACGCAGCGAAAUGCGAUAAGUAAUGUGAAUUGCAGAAUUCAGUGAAUCAUCGAAUCUUUGAACGCACAUUGCGCCCGCCAGUAUUCUGGCGGGCAUGCCUGUUCGAGCGUCAUUACAACCCUCAGGCUCCCGGGCCUGGCGUUGGGGAUCGGCGGAGCCCCCCGUGGGCACACGCCGUCCCCCAAAUACAGUGGCGGUCCCGCCGCAGCUUCCAUCGCGUAGUAGCUAACACCUCGCGACUGGAGAGCGGCGCGGCCACGCCGUAAAACACCCAACUCUUCUGAAGUUGACCUCGAAUCAGGUAGGAAUACCCGCUGAACUUAAGCAUAUCAAUAAGCGGAGGA